rnacentral:rRNA from 1 species
UACGUAGGGUGCGAGCGUUAAUCGGAAUUACUGGGCGUAAAGCGUGCGCAGGCGGUUCUGAAGGUCAGCUGUGAAAGCCCCGGGCUUAACCUGGGAAUUGCGGUUGAAACUACAGGGCUAGAAUCUGGCAGAGGGGGGGUGGAAUUCCACGUGUAGCAGUGAAAUGCGUAGAGAUGUGGAGGAACACCGAUGGCGAAGGCAGCCCCCUGGGCUGAGAUUGACGCUCAGGCACGAAAGCGUGGGGAGCAAACAGG